UUGGUCCUGUUUUGUGAGGUCGUGGGACCUUUGGGAGCUGGAAGAAGCCGAUGGCUUGGAGAUGGGCCUUCAGAGGUGUAGCUGGGCCCCACUUCCAAUUGACUCCUCUCUUUCCUGGUCUGCAGAGAUGUGAGCAGACACCCUCAGGUUUUUACCUCCGCCACUGACAGGAGCUGCCCCUGCCAUCAUGCCUGCCCCUGCCAUGAUGGACUGUACCCUUUCAAACCGUAUCUUGAAAGCAGAAUGCAGCAAGACCAGAUUUGAAUUUUAGCAUGACUUCAGUGGUGUGGAAAGGGAUUAAGGAGGCAGACUGGGGCAGCCCGAUUCAUCAAAAGGAACGGUUCCUGUGAUGGAGUGUUCGGUGAGCCUUUAAUUUCAUGUUUCUGCAUGUCUCUGUGUAUUGUUCCUGUUUUUAUGUCCCCGUUCCGACCACCCACGCUGUUUGUGAAAGUCAGAGAGGACGACUGUCUGGCAAAGGUCUCAUCAGUCAGGGAGACUGGCUCCAUUCUUGAAUCAGUCAAGAAGGAGAAACUGUGGCAGACAUAUGAGUACUCAGACUUCCAGUGAGUUAUGAACGUCAUUUCUUGUCGGAGAGAGUGCAAAACUUGGAAACUCAAGAGCUCUGUGGCUAGUACUGACUGAGAGACCAGGCUUGGGAAAUGGGGAGUAUACUCAUAACCUUACAGGCCUCUGUGUCUUAGGAAUGACACAAGAUACCCUGUGGUCCAGAAAGGAGGCUGAGUACAUCUGUAUUUAUCUUCCUCAUAACAGGGAUGACAUAAGAA